UACAGAGGUCUCAAGCGUUGUUCGGAUUCAUUGGGCGUAAAGGGUGCGCAGGCGGCCAAGUGUGUGAGGCGUGAAAGCCCGGGGCUUAACCCCGGAAUUGCACCUCAAACUACAUGGCUAGAGCAUUGGAGAGGGUAGCAGAAUUCAUGGUGUAGCAGUGAAAUGCGUAGAUAUCAUGAGGAAUACCAGAGGCGAAGGCGGCUACCUGGACAAUUGCUGACGCUCAGGCACGAAAGCGUGGGGAGCAAAAGGG
rnacentral:rRNA from 1 species